AUUGAACGCUGGCGGCAGGCCUAACACAUGCAAGUCGAGCGAGCGGCGGACGGGUGAGUAAUGUAUGGGGACUGCCCGAUAGAGGGGGAUAACUACUGGAAACGGUGGCUAAUACUGCAUACUCUCGGAUAACCCAGAUGGGAUUAGCUAGUGGGUGGGGUAAAGUCUCACCUAGGCGACGCUCCAUAGCUGGUCUGAGAGGAUGAUCAUCCACACUGGGACUGAAACACGGCCCAGACCACAACGGAGGCAGGAGUGGGGAAGAUUGUACAAUGGGAGAAGGCCUGGUGCGAACAUGCCGCGUGUAUGAAGAAGGCCUUAGGGUUGUAAAGUACUUUCAGCGGGGAGGAGUUACCCGAAGAAGAAGCACCGGCUAACUCCGUGCCAGCAGCCGCGGUAAUAC
rnacentral:rRNA from 1 species